UAUCUUCUGUCUUGCCCUCUGCAGGACACAAGGUGAGGUAGAACAUGGCCCUCCGGAACUUGAGGGUCUGUAGACUUCUGGCACUGGGCUCUCCUAGUUUUCACUCCCCACCCUCACCCCCCGGCACCUCCCACUACUGCCCAGUCUUUCCAAGGCCCUGGCUCUGGUCCCCCUAGCCAGGCCCAACACUGGAAGGGGCUGUGCCCUUCCUCUGCCCACACAGCCUAGUGGGCGGUCCCCGCCUCGCCCUGCAUUUGGGCUAGUGUGCAGCUCCAAGGGCACUGGUGCAUGCACAUCUGGGGCUCGGACAAAGGAAAGGGUGGACAGGACACCUGGGGCCCAUUCCUCACCCGUGUCGUGCAUCCUUGACCACCCUCCCUGCCCGGGACAUUGUGGAGGCUCUGGGAGUCUACCUCCUCCUCCACGGUGGACCUCAGGCUCCAGGACACCAGCCAGUGUAGACAUUACCUGGUCCUUUGAUCUGGGGGGCCUGGUCGGGCUCCUGCUUCCUUUGAACACAGCCGGUGGUGCCAGCUUGGAUCAAAGCCCUUGGGGGGUCUGAAGGAGAUGAAGCCCCCUGGAACUGCAUGCCCUCUGCUCCUGUGAGAUGUCUUCUUAGCGGUUCACAAGCCUCCUCUCAGAUUCGAGCUCCCUCUUUUUGGCUGAGCUCUCUGACUUUAUUCAGGAUCUGUUUUCCUGAAGGCAUUGUCCUUUUGGGGUGAAUAAACCAUUACAAGAAGAUUAAAACGCAUUGAAAGACCGGCCUGUUGUUACUGUGAGAAGUCAGGACACUGAAAAAAAGGCUGCUAUAAACUAAAUGGUCCAGGAGUCUUCAGUCACCCAACCAAUCUUUCCAAUGUCCUUCCACAUCCCAAUGAUGGGACUCCGAGGAAUCACAGGGGCUUUCCCCAACCCUUCUCCAGGCUGGGAAUGACUUUCCACUGGGGCUACUAUUAAACAGCCCCUGCUUCAGAAUACUGAAAUGAUUCAUAUAGUGGGGAUCUCUGAUAAACGUCAACAAGUCAAGAGAAAAAAAACCAUUGCAUCAAAAAUGCUUAGUGCCCUUUGAACAAGACCGAACAGACUGGUGAUGACAAAGUGAGAGAGCAGGUUGGCACCCUGUUGAAAGUGUUGCAUAUCGUGAAUUUUAACACCAGUGUGCAGACUUUAAAGUUGCUUUUCUCCCAAGUAAUGAAUUCUCCACAGAUGAUAGCAGACCAAAAUUAUGCAGCAUUGCGUGGAAGACGUUGAUCCAGGGAUGAUGUUUAUUCCUAAAAUACAGCCCAGGAAAAUCUGUCCUCACUGCUUCUAGGCACUUUACGUUGCCUGAUGGACCAUGCGAGCCUUGGCGAAUGGAUUUCAUACGGCUUCCCCCACCUCACGGGCGUAAAUACGUCUCGGCAACGAUUUGCAUGUUUUCUUUCUGGACUGAAGCUUCUCCAUGUAGACAGGCUACUGACUCCUCCGUGGCUAAGAACCUAUUGGAAAAGAUCAUUCCUACCUGAGGGAGCCGCCCCCAAACUUCAUAGCGAUAGGGGAACCCACUUUACUGGUCAAGUGUGACAAGAAGUCUGUGCCAUAUGGCCAGUUCUGCAACGUUUUCACCGCAGUUAUCAUCCCCAGUCUCCAGGACUAGUCGAAUGUACCAAUGGCAUCAUCAAAACCCAACAGGAAAAAUCUGUAGAGACCCUUCAGAUACCCUGGCCAAAAGCAUUGCCAUUGGUCCUUCUGAACCUUAGGGUCACUCCUUUCGGAACCCACAAACUAUGCUUAACCAUAUAUUAGAACAAUCUUUCCAUGGCAUGCUCCCAGGACAUGAAGACCUUAAGCACCAUACCUUACAACCUGGAGAGUUGUCUAUUGGAAAAGACAUCACUCUCUUCAACCCCACUGGAAAGGUCACUAUCAGGUACUGUUAACCAACCCUUGUGCCACGAAACUCCAAGGAAUAGGCUCUUGGAUCCAUAUAUCACAUCUAAAGAAAGCACCAAACCCUGACUGGACCUACAUCCCAACUGGUGACCUAAAAGUAAAGAUGUGCAAGAAUUGAAGCAUACAGUAGCUUAAGGAAACAGCUUUCCCAUGAUGACCGGCCUGUAUAUCUUUUCCUUACUCUUACUUCUUGCCUUAUCUUCUCCCUCUCUUUCUUGGAAAGACAAUGCUCUUACCCAUAUUUCCUAAUCCAUUGCCAAAGGGGGAAACCUUCUGACUGUUGAAUAUGUUACCAGAAACCUCGAUAUGUCCAUGACAGUGGUGACCCUCUGGUAUUAAGUCUGAUUGAUGUAACGAAAUAGCCCCUCUCUUUGCAGCCUUUAGGGACAAAAUCCACAGAACAGAAUGUUUUCUUCUUAAAUAUUCCCCAAACGUCAUUGACUCUUGGCUCUAAAGGACCAACUGGUAAAUUCCAGUUAGUGGCACUGUUAAUAAGUCUUAUGUGCACCACCUGGCUUUAGCCCUGUCUGUGGCAAAUGAAACUCUCAAUGAGCCUAUGAAUGUUUGGACAGCUGGUAAAUGGGAGGCCAGUGUUUGCUGGGAUAUUUAACCAUCCCUGUUAAUAUCUAUAAUAAAUCUGAAGCUUCCCACUGAUCUUCCCCAUUAUAUCUUCGUAAGCAUCUUAAAUGGGAACUACCUGGGGCAUACAUGACUCCGGGCUUGCCUCCAUAGCGAGAGGCUUUCCCCCUCGGGUCAAAGUUCCAAUGAGAAUAUGAACAUAAAUCUCUCCCUAACAUUAGAAGAGCUAGCUGAUUCUGCAGGCUGACAAUGAUCACUUGAUUCCUUGGCUAAAGUAGUUGUAGACAAGCAAUAGCCUUGAUUUUGAACCAGGUGGCAUUAGCAUAUACCACCUGUUGCAUAUGGGUAAACGCCUCUGGAGAAGUAGGAACUCAAUUAUACGAGAACAGGGAACAAGUGCACUUGCUAGUUGACUACUUUAGGAUCAUGACUUAAAGCCAUCAUACAAACAAAGUCAUAUUACUUUUAAUUUGCUUUGUAUAAUCUUAAAUUUUUGCACCUUUGCCUGCCCAACCUCUGCAGAAACUAUGCACCAAACAGAAUGUUGACUCAACACGAUGCUUUCAAGGAAAGAUUUUGAUCAAAAGGGGAAAAUGUGAAAAGGAACAAAGGAAACCUAAAUCAAAAUGGAGUCAGGAAGCCAUGAAGAGAGGGCUGUCACACACAAAUCACUCCCUGCCGCUUACAGAUCACAGCAGGAAGAAGGGUUUCCUUCUGACUCAGCAGCAAGAAGCUGCUCACCAGUUGCAGCUAACAAAAAAGAAAACUGCCACAGCCCUAUCCAGUUUCCUCCUAGAACCUAACGAAAGCUGACCUUCCCUUUGUCUCCUCUGACAUGCCUAUGGUUCACCAUAGUUUGUUUCUCUCAAAUUGUAAUUCCUCUGCUAUUCCUGAAUAAACUCAUUUUGGCUAGCUUAA